rnacentral:lncRNA from 1 species
CAGAAUAAACCCAUGACAAUGAAGCAUUUUUAAAUAGUUUUGUUUUUCAGGACUGCUUCUGUGUUGGUGGAAUUUAAGUGACAUCCUAUGCAUAGAGCAUUGAUUAGAGAAUGAACAUUGCCUCAGUAAAGAUAAUCAAAGCAAAUGAGGAAAACCAACAGCAGCACAAGGAAAGUCUAUGUCAAACUUUGUUGCCCAGAGAUGAAAGAGUAGCCCAUCUGAAUCUGAGGGGAAUUUCCAUCCCCUUCAGUAGCAGCCACAAUUCAUCCCGGUCAUCUGAAGUCUUGGUCUUAUUGAUAAAGCAAAAAGAACAGAGAGAAAAGAGAAAAUAUCAAAGCCAAUAUCUGCCAAAUCAUAGUAUAGAUAUGAAAUAAACAUGGUUUGUAAAGAGUCAUACUUCAUAUUCAUUGUGUCUAUUCAUUGAGAGUCUAUUCAUUGUGAAUUUCCACUGUCCUCCCUCAGCCAAUGCUCUGUUAAGUAUCACCUGAUAUUCUGUGUAUCCUCUGACAUGCUGUGUCUUAUUCAAAGUAAAGGCUCCUUCAAGUAAAGUCCAGAGUAUAAGUGACCUGCCCACAGUACUUCAUGAAAAAACA